GCUGUUUUCGGGUGGAUGACGUUGCAAUUUUAGCAAUCCUUUGGGGAAAAAAAAUUGCACGGUAUCCAUCUGUAAUCCGCC
rfam:Lepisosteus oculatus linkage group LG7, whole genome shotgun sequence.